UACGAAGGGGGCUAGCGUUGCUCGGAAUCACUGGGCGUAAAGGGUGCGUAGGCGGGUUUUUAAGUCAGAGGUGAAAUCCUGGAGCUCAACUCCAGAACUGCCUUUGAUACUGAAAGUCUUGAGUAUGGGAGAGGUGAGUGGAACUGCGAGUGUAGAGGUGAAAAUUCGUAGAUAUUCGCAAGAACGACCAGUGGCGAAGGCGGCUCACUGGCCCAUUACUGGACGCUGAGGCACGAAAGCGUGGGGAGCAAACAGG
rnacentral:rRNA from 1 species